rnacentral:misc_RNA from 1 species
CCCAUUAAAAAGUCUAACCUUUUCCCAGCUCCUCACAUAUAAUACUUGGCAGGCAGCUUUUGAGUUAACAACCAACUCAAGGUAAAUCCAUCAGGACAUUUCUUUUUUUCUUCUUGCUUCUCUCGUUUCUGCUUAGAAUAUGGACUGGACCAGAGGCCACACCUUAGGCCAUGGCUCCACCGCCACCGUCUCCCUCGCCAAGUCUAUCCACUCCGGUGACGUUUCAAAUCCGCCGAACUCGACCAAUCUCAAUUCUUGCAAAGGGAGCAAAAUAUUCUCUCUUCUCUAACCUCUCCACAUAUAGUUAGUUACAAGGGCUAUGACAUUACUAGAGAGAAUAACCAGGUUAUGUACAAUCUUUUCUUGGAGUACAUUUCUGGCGGUACACUUACCGAUGCAGUUCAGGCUCACGGUGGCCGGUUAGAAGAAUCGGUGAUCAGAUACUACACUUAUGAAAUUGUUCAAGGUCUAGAUUACCUACAUUCAAAUGGCUGGGUUCAUUGUGACAUCAAAGGUAGGAA